rnacentral:lncRNA from 1 species
GUUAUAGUGAAAUUCCCAAGUGAGACUUGGGGAGUGGACGUAGGAGCAAGGGUUAGCUCCGAACCACUAUAAAACUCUGUGUCUGUAGUGCAUUGUCUCUCAUCUUCUUCCCCGCACAUUACUCACAGCACUAGGCUUUAAUUAAAUAACUUGCUAUAGUUUUUAAUUAAUCAUCCACAAAGUUUUAAUUAGCCAAAUUAUAUUAAAAAC